CAAAGAUUAAGCCAUGCAUGUCUCAGUGCAAGCCAAAUUAAGGUGAAACCGCGAAAGGCUCAUUAAAUCAGUUAUGGUUCCUUAGAUGGUACAAACAGUUACUUGGAUAACUGUGGUAAUUCUAGAGCUAAUACAUGCAAACAGAGUCCCGACCACUCACGUUGGAAGGGAUGCUUUUAUUAGAUCAAAACCAAUCAGGCCCCUGUAAAAGGGGGCUUGUUGCUCUUGGUGACUCUGAAUAACUUUGGGCUGAUCGCAUGGUCUUAGUGCCGGCGACGCAUCUUUCAAAUGUCUGACUUAUCAACUUUCGAUGGUAGGCUCUGUGCCUACUAUGGUUGUAACGGGUAACGGGGAAUCAGGGUUCGAUUCCGGAGAGGGAGCCUGAGAAACGGCUACCACAUCCAAGGAAGGCAGCAGGCGCGCAAAUUACCCACUCCCAGAACGGGGAGGUAGUGACGAAAAAUAACGAUGCAGAACUCAUUCCGAGGCUCUGCAAUCGGAAUGAGUACACUCUAAAUCAUUUAACGAGUAUCCAUUGGAGGACAAGUCUGG
rnacentral:rRNA from 1 species